UCGUGAGAUGUUGGGUUAAGUCCCGCAACGAGCGCAACCCUUGAUUUUAUUUGCCAGCAUUCAGUUGGGCACUAUAAGGUGACUGCCGGUGACAAACCGGAGGAAGGUGGGGAUGACGUCAAAUCAUCAUGCCCCUUAUGACCUGGGCUACACACGUGCUACAAUGGACGGUACAGAGGGCUGCAAACCCGCGAGGGGGAGCCAAUCCCACAAAACCGUUCCCAGUUCGGAUUGCAGGCUGCAACUCGCCUGCAUGAAGCCGGAAUCGCUAGUAAUCGCGGAUCAGCAUGCCGCGGUGAAUACGUUCCCGGGUCUUGUACACACCGCCCGUCACACCACGAGAGUUUGCAACACCCGAAGUCGGUGGGGUAACCC
rnacentral:rRNA from 1 species